rnacentral:rRNA from 1 species
UACGUAGGUGGCAAGCGUUGUCCGGAAUUAUUGGGCGUAAAGCGCGCGCAGGCGGUCCUUUAAGUCUGAUGUGAAAGCCCACGGCUCAACCGUGGAGGGUCAUUGGAAACUGGGGGACUUGAGUACAGAAGAGAAGAGUGGAAUUCCACGUGUAGCGGUGAAAUGCGUAGAUAUCGAGAGGAACACCUGCGGCGAAGGCGGGUUGCUGGGCUGACACUGACGCUGAUGCGCGAAAGCCAGGGGAGCGAACGGG